GAGCGUGGGCAGCUUUCGUAUAAAUACGAAGCGAAUUUUGUAGCGUCAGGCGAUUGCAUGACUGUCUUUAGUCUACUGCAUGUCUUGCCCGUCUUCUUGUUGUCUUGUUUGGCUAUAUUUUGAUAAGAUGAAUUUCGAUUUCUCUCAUUUGUAUCUCAAAUUUUCACCUAAAGUUACGGCAGUUACGUUUGUUAUCAUCUCUGCUGGUUUUGUAACGUAAGGUUAUUCCAUAUUCUGUAGUGUUGAACUUAAAAUGAAUUCCGCAGUCUGUUUCGGGUCGUCUUUUCGAUUGUUCGUCUGUGUGAUUUUUGAGGGGGGGGGGGGGUGAUUGGGGCAUGGCAUAUGCCUGUGUCAUAUUACGAUUGAAUUCGAAAAUUAUGGAAUUUUAAUCAUGCGAAGUCAUAGUUAUAAACUUAAGGCAGGUCUUAUUAAUGUCGGUUAUAAUUAGAGAAGUGUGAGAAAUGGUAGAAAUUGCAGUUGAGAGUGGCGGAUGAGUCCGAUGACGGGAUGGAGUUGGAAUCUGAUCAUGAUAUGAUGUGGAUGAAUUGUGGGUGAACUGGAGACCGUGAAGACGAUUGGAUUUAUGGAAGGAAGGACCUGCAAAGACGUGUGAAGCAGUUCAAGCGCAGUAGCAUGGAGUACUUAGGCUUAUCCCAUUGAGUUAUGAGGGAGCCGCGAGAGAGACCCAGUCUGUAAACAGAAUGAGCAUCAGUCCAGCGUCCUUUAAAUCUUUCAAGGCUUAAUUCCAGCAAGGGUUUGAUAGUUACAAUAAGAGUAGGUCUACCUUGUCAAAAUUCCUGUAAUAUAGAAUCGAGAUAAUAUCCUCUGCAAUUAAGAAUUCUACUUUCACAGAAGUUUGUCAUUGUAUCAUGUAUGGAAGUAUAAUAAAUAAGCCUACUACAGGGUAUUGCCAUGUUUGGGCCCCCUUAUUUUAUACAAUCUGAAAAUUCCUGCAUUUUUUUGUCCUUGUGUAAAGUGUUUUUUCCCCAGCGUAUACUUUUUGUACCUUGAAACAUCCUGUUCUAUUUUAUUAUGAGAAAAUCUUGAUAAAAUUACUAAAACAGUGCUAUCAUAGUGUAGAAGUAUAAAAUUGUUAAGGCCUAAUCAUACUUCACUUUGUGAAGGGUCGCAUGCAUCGUUUUCUGUUUCGUUUCUUUUGUGCACCAAUAGUGGAGCAUCUGAGCUUCCGAGUUUCUGCUUGGCUCCAAGAUUUAAGUCACAACUACAAGCUAUUGGCUAUGUCCUGAAUUAAGGCCAGAAACAUAAUACACACCUGGACCUGCAAGCUUUUUUGGAAUUCGGCAAGCAAGUACAAGGAGCUGAAAAAUCGGAUUACAAUGCUUUUCUCUUUAGGAAUCUUUUGUGAUAUUAAAGGAAAUUUUUCUUCUGGAUCUCGCGCUCCAACAUCUGGGCAUGGUGACAUGGUGGGGAAGUCGGUUUCUCUUUUUUUUUUUCUUCAUUUACCUCCAGGAAAUUAUAUGAUACAUAUUGGAAUUUUUAUCAGGAACCAGUUUUCUUCAACUUCUUUCUUCGCAAGAAAUAUGUGCAGGUUUUCGUUUUCUCUACAUUGUCCAUUACCAAUUGAAAAGUCUUGUGAAAAUUAAAAAAAUAUUCGCUCUAUUUCAUAAGGAGAAACUCGAUCAAAAUCUCUUCAGAGAAUCAACUUAUUCAACAAGGAAAUUCCUAUUGGAAACUUCUUAAAUCUUAAAUCUCAAUUUAUCUUUUUGUGGUACUAUUUUAUUGUGAAGAUGAUCUUUUCUGCACAAGGUGAAUGAAAUGGAGGAAAAAAAUGGAAUUUAAAUUUUCGUUUUGAACAAGGUGAAAAUCAGUUUUUUUAAAUGAUAACUGAAAUACCUCUCAAACUCUGGGAUCAACGUGGGAUAGGGAUGUUUUCCUUUUCUUUUUGUUUUUGCCAUCUAGAAAUACCUCACAAGGAUCAAGUUUGCAUCAUAUUCUCAAGAUUUUGAGUCCUGUUGUUGCAUAGAUGCCCCAAUACUACUUAGGAGAGAGAACACAGAUACAUUCUGUAAGAAGUAAUGCAUUAUUUGAUCAGAAGCCCAGUUUGGUUGAAAGGAUAUGUGGAAAUAUUUAAUCUGAAAGCGAUUGUGUAUUAUUGACUUCAAAUAAAAAAAAUGCUUGAUGAAGUGAAAAAAAAUUGUGAAGUUUUUAUUUAAACAAAACCAUGAUCAGUAUUUUGCGUUAUACUACUGUUUUGGAAAAUGACAACUUAAAAAUAUCUCUCAAGCUCAGGGAUCAAUGUGGGAUAGGGUUGUUCUUUUUCUUUUCUACAUUUCGUGUUUGCCAUCUAGAAGCACCUCACAAGGAGCGAGUUUGCAUCAUAUUCUCAAGAUUUCAAGUCGUGUUACAUAGAUGCCCCGUUGCUUAGAAGGAAGCACAGUAAAAUGCUAGUAAGAAGUAAUGCAUGGUGUGAUCAGAAGCCACAAUUUUGUUCACAGGAAAAUUUUGUUGAGGAAAUAUUUGAUCUGAAAGCGAUUACGAUUUUUUUAUUUCAAAUACCCAAAGAUGUUUUUGAUGAAGUGAAAAAUGAAAAAAAAUUUAACUUGUUCUUACAAGAAAAUCAUCAGUAUGUUUGUGACCAACUUCUGUUUUGGAAAAUAAAAACUAUGAAAUAUCUCUCAAGCUCAGGGAUCAAUGUGGGAUAGGGAUGUUCUUUUUCUUUUCUACAUUUCGUGUUUGCCAUCUAGAAGCACCUCACAAGGAGCAAGUUUGCAUCAUAUUCUCAAGAUUUCAAGUCGUGUUACAUAGAUGCCCCGUUGCUUAGAAGGAAGUACAGUAAAAUGCUAGUAAGAAGUAAUGCAUGAUGUGAUCUGAAGCCAAAAUUUUGUUGAAGAAAUAUUUGAUCUGAAAUCGAUUACGAUUUUUUAAUUUCAAAUCCUCAGAUGUUUUUGAUGAAGUGAAAAAUGAAAUUAAGUGAAACUUUUGUUCAAAUUAGAAAAUCAACUUCUGUUAUGGAAAAUGACAACUAUGAAAUAUCUCUCAAGCUCUAGGAUCAAUGUGGGAUAGGGAUGUUCUUUUUUUCCCCUUUUCCUGUUUGCCAUUUAGUAGCACCUCACGAGGAGCAAGUUUGUAUUCUCAAGAUUUCAAGUCCAGUUUCUCAAGGGUGCCCCGAUGCUUAGGAGGAAGCACAGUUCAAUACUGUAAGAAGUAAUGUGUGAUGUGAUCAGGAGCCUAAAUUAGUUGAAAGGACAUUUUUCUUGAUGUUUGCAUCAUUUUCUCAAGAUUUCCUGUUGCACACAGUAGAUGCCUAAUACUGAGCACAUAAAUAGUAAUGGAUGAUUUGAUCAGAAGCCUAGUUUGGUUGAAGGAAUAUAUGGAAAUAUUUGAUCUGAAAGCAAUUGUGAUUUAGUGAUUUGAAAUACAAAAAUGCUUUUAUGAAGUGAAAGAAGAAAAAUCAAGAAAUUAAGUGAAACUUUGUUCAAACUACAAGAAAAUCAUCAGUAUGUUUGUGAAACUUCUGUUUUGGAAAAUAGCAACUAGGAAAAUAUCUCUCAAGUGCAGGGAUCAAUGUGGGGUAGGGAUGUUCUUUUUUUUUUCUUUUCCUGUUUGCCAUUCAGAAGUAUCCCACAAGGAGCAGAUUUGCAUCGUUUUCUCAAGAUUUCAAGCCCGUUUGCAUGGAUGCCCAAUACUUAAGAGCUAGAAGGUAGCACAAAUAAAUGCCGCAAGAAGUAGUGUGUCGUGUUCAGAAGCCCAGUGUGGUUGGAAAAAAAAAUUUCAUGUGGAAAUGUUAGUGACUAAUUUAUUUCAUUGAAAAAAAAAUGCUGUAUUUAUUGAACAAAAAUGGAAUGGAAGUCCUCUUCAAAUUCAAAUUGAAAUCAAAUCAAAUUGGAAGUGAAUAUUGCCGAUUUCGUGUGCAAUGGAAAAAUCAAUUUAAAACUGCAGUAUUUGGAAUGUCCGAGAUAAAGGAAUCUGUGUUUGUGGGUGGAUGGGGAUUUUUCUCUUUCCCUUUUUCUUAUUUGCCAUCUAGAAGUAUGUUGCACCAAGCCAGUAGCAUCUAUUGUACAACCAUAUGUGCUAUGUCCUGCUCAAGUCUAGGUUCGAGACCAGAUGGAAAAUUCAUCUUAGGAUCUUUGUAGGAGCGUGUCUGUCCUCUUCCUAAAUCUUUGCCAGUAGGAGCUUAAAAUAAAGCAAUUGAUGUACAGCCCCCGGUACAGCCAUCCUGUUAUGGAGUAAUGUUCCUUCUGUGACUUCUCUUCCUUUGGCCUUAUCAAGACCACAGUGUCAUCUGUAAAUAAGCAGUUUGCAAGGUAUCUUCUGUAAAUGUCCUGAAACCAGCAGUUUUAUUUCAAAGAACCAACAAAAAACACCAACACAACACUUGUGAAUAUUUAAAAAAAAGCAACAAAAAAAACAACAAUGAAACAAACAUAUAAAAUGCAUAUUUUGUAUUAAAAAUCUGUAUUUUGGGGAUAUUUGACUGGGAGGGAAGUCUCUUUCCUUUUUCCCCCUUUGAUAGUGUUUUUAUCCAGGUUAUAAUGCUGUUCAAGCACCAAAGUGAUGCAGAUCUUUUGAGGAUCACACUUCUUUUCAGCUUGCGAUCUGGAAUCUUCCCAUUUGAAGAAACAGAGAUGGAGUGGUUUGGUGGGCAUUUUUUUUAAAUUCAAUCCUUCAGCCUAGUUAGAAAAAUAAUUUUAAAUGAGCAUUAAUCAGUCUAUCCGUCUAUGUUGGAUCCAGUGUUACUGUAUGUUUUUGCUUCCGAAAACAAAUCACUAAUAAUGGAUAAGAUAAAAAAUGAAAUCCAAAUGUUCUCAUUUUCUCCCAAAUCUUUACAAUUAAAGUAUAAUUGUGAAAAUUGUUUUUCCAGAUUAAUUCAUGUACUGUAGUAAGCAUUUUGAGGGUAGCGAGAUCCUGCCGCUUGGCAGUCGACAUGUAUUUUUCUUAAGCCCCUUUUCUAUUCAGAUUGCUCUGGAAUCAAAGAAUGCAAGUGACUUUCUUACCAACCAUUUACUGGCAUUUGGAAUAGAAUACCAAAUAAUAAAGCGGAGGUGAUGUACGUGAUGCGUUUUCAUCCUGUAUGCAUGAUUAAUUGGGUUUACGUAUCAAUUUUUCUUUCUCUUUGUGCCUUUUAAACAGAACUUUCCAAAGUCUGACUUUCUUUUCUGAAAACUUGAAUCUUGUGUAGCGCUUGCCCUUAGUUUGCAACUAGUUUUUUUCCAUGGAAAGAGGGAGGGGGGUAUUUAUCAUGAUCCUGCCUCUGGCAGUUUUUCUCUUCUACUUUUGUUUUGCAGGGACUUGUGAUUUAUUUUUAAGUGUGGAUUUUGUUCUUGAACUAGCUCCUUAAAUGAGUUGAACGUGAUAGCAAAUGGACUUCUCUCUUCCAAGUGUUCACUGGUAAUCGGUCUUUGUGAAUGGGAACAUUUGUUAGGAUACAUUUUAUUAUAAUUUAUUUGAAGAAUAUAUUCUCAACUUAAAUCUCUCAAACUUGAUGAGAUUGUAGUGUAAAUCUGAAUUGCAACUUUCUGUCGUUCAUUACACAUGUGUACAAACUUGAAAUGGCAUUGGCAAAACUAGAGCAUUAAAUAUGAAUGUUAAUCAUAACUCUGCCUAUGGCAGUUAUGUGUUCUCCAGUCUUUUCCCAAUUUCCUCCUGUUUAUCCACAAGUCAUGCAGGAAUUACCUGACAUCAUGAAAGGAAGGGGGAAAAAAAAUCAAGAUUGUGUGUGGCAAAGCAAGUGUCUUCAUGUGUGUAUGGUUCGCAUUGGCAACUUAGAAGGUGAUAGUGACUGUUGGCCAUCAACUGGUGAAUUUUUUAAAAUGUAUUUUCAUAUGUAAUCGCUUGUCUUGUUAUCACAAGCAAGUCUUUGAAAAAGGAAUCUUUGUUGAAAAAAAAGAAGUAUUUUGAGUUUCCAUGUACUUGAUGAUACGAGAAAAGAAAGCACUGUUAGUGCAAGAUAAACUUGUUCACAUAAGUGAGCAUUUUUGUGUAUUUUAUGUAGAUGUAGAAAACUGCAUUUUUUUCUGUCGAAAGGCAGCAUGUUUUCUCUCCUCUCGGUAUUCAUGCAGGAACAUAAACCAAGCAAGCAUGUUGCUACGCCACUUAUGUGCUUCAUUACCAACCAUUUCAAAGUCGGCAACCCAUGUACUCUUGCUUGACAUUAAUCGGCUGGCACUUUGCGAAACACCAUGUAGCGGUAUUGUUGCAACUGUUGUAAUGAUCAUAAUCCAAUUGUUUCUAUAAAUCUUUCACAAUCAACAAAUUGCUAAUUGUACUUAAAUGCCUGAUGCAGUGUGAGGAAUGAAAAAAAAAAUUAUGUACC